rnacentral:misc_RNA from 1 species
GAUGAAGAACGUAGCGAAAUGCGAUACUUGGUGUGAAUUGCAGAAUCCCGUGAACCAUCGAGUCUUUGAACGCAAGUUGCGCCCGAAGCCGUCAGGCCGAGGGCACGCCUGCCUGGGCGUCACACGCCGUUGCCCCCCCGCGCCCCGCACCCAACGCUUUGGGAGCGACCGCGGGGCGGGCUGAUGAUGGCCUCCCGUGCGCUCCGCCGCGCGGUUGGCCCAAAUACCGAGUCCCCGGCGACGUGCGCCACGACGAUCGGUGGUUGAGAGACCUCUGUCGCAAGUCGUGCGCGCCCGUCGCGUCACGCGGGCUCGCAUAGCGCCUCGCGCCGCACCCGGUGCGGAGCUUUCAACGCGACCCCAGGUCAGGCGGGGUUACCCGCUGAAUUUAAGCAUAUCAUAAGCGGAGGA